rnacentral:rRNA from 1 species
GAUGAACGCUGGCGGCGUGCCUAAUACAUGCCAGUUGAGCGAUGAAGAUUGGUGCUUGCCCCAAUUUGAAGAGCAGCGAACGGGUGAGUAACGCGUGGGGAAUCUGCCUUUGAGCGGGGGACAACAUUUGGAAACGAAUGCUAAUACCGCAUAACAACUUUAAACAUAAGUUUUAAGUUUGAAAGAUGCAAUUGCAUCACUCAAAGAUGAUCCCGCGUUGUAUUAGCUAGUUGGUGAGGUAAAGGCUCACCAAGGCGAUGAUACAUAGCCGACCUGAGAGGGUGAUCGGCCACAUUGGGACUGAGACACGGCCCAAACUCCUACGGGAGGCAGCAGUAGGGAAUCUUCGGCAAUGGACGAAAGUCUGACCGAGCAACGCCGCGUGAGUGAAGAAGGUUUUCGGAUCGUAAAACUCUGUUGGUAGAGAAGAACGUUGGUGAGAGUGGAAAGCUCAUCAAGUGACGGUAACUACCCAGAAAGGGACGGCUAACUACGUG